rnacentral:lncRNA from 1 species
AAGCUCCCUGCUCUCAGGAGAAUCUGGCACAGCACCAUCACCAACUCAGAGGGAGGGAAGCAACCUUGAGUCAGCUCCCAGGCAGUAAUGAGUGUUCAAGGGAGAUAUAACUCUAAGGAAAAGGAUUGAGGUCAAGGAAUUAGAAGAAACAGAUGGAAGAAUCAUUUGAACCAUAUCCAGGUCUUUUGAAAAUGAUGAGACAGAAGAGAAAGCGAAAAUUGCUUCAGACAGUUUUGCUGAGAAAUUUGUCUCAGAUAAAUUUUGGAGUAAGGUCAGAGACCUAAGAUAAGAAAACCCCUAGGCAGAGGUGGGAAAAAAUAGAAAAAAGAAAACGAAAAGAGCAAAUACAUUCUUCCUUCCUAUCUUCCACUUGCCAGAGUAGCUUUACUAAGAUGCUGCCUGAUCAUUUCUCUCCAGACACUUUUGCCAAUGAUAUUAAUACUAUAAAGGAGCAUUUCUGGACUUGAUUCAUUAAUGAUUAGAAAGCUCGUAACAGAUUAGAUGACCAGGCUACAGUCUCACCUGCCAGGCAGUGCAGCUGCAGAUCUUGGCUGACCAUCAUGUCAGCACCUACUAUGUGCCAGUCACUGUGCCAGGAGUUGGAAAUAUGAGGAAGACCGUAAUUCUCAUAAUGAGAAUACAAGGAAGACCAUCUCUCAAGAAAGGAACAUCAUAAAACAUGUUUACUGUCAAGUCCUUGUCAUUAUCAAAAAUAUCUCCAGAUUGAUGUCAUUCUGAGAAAAGUGAUUUCAUACUGAAAAAAAUUCUACAAAAAUAGUAAAACUCUUCUUCUCAAUUUUCAGAACUUGGAUGGGGUUGGGGGCAGGUGCUUUCAUCUAUUUUCAUCUUGUCCUGGUAGAAAUUAUUUGCUUGAUUAACAUUUUGGUGGAGAAGUUCAGUCUCUAAGGCUACAGAUGAGAAGAUCAGUUACUGGAUGGGUUCCUAACUUCAAUGUCAAAUCCAAGAGCCUGAAAAUAAAGGAUGGAAAGAAAGGGAAACAAAGAAAAGUUAUCAGACAAUGUGAAGACAUUUUAUGGAGAGGAAGAAAGAGUGAGUGAGCACAGGAAAAAUCACAAAGCAGUAUAUGAAGAAAAGAAAGAGAUAACAGUUAUUAGUAAGUAAAGAGAUAAUUAAGAGAUAAUCCUUUCAGUGGCAUGAACACCAUAGUUUGUGACAUCACUGGUCAUUAAUGAUUUGUGAGAAGCAGUGUCUCAACUAUGUUUCUGUUACAUUAAUUAUACCCAAAAUAAAAUAUUUGCACACCAAAAAAAAAAAAAAAA